rnacentral:lncRNA from 1 species
AAUAAAAAUAAUACAGAAUUUGUCCUCUUGGGCUUCUCUCAGGAUCCUGAUGUGCAAAUGCAUUAUUUGUCAUGUUUUACUCACAUAAUUGGUGACAACAGUGGGGAACCUGCUCAUUGUGGUGACUAUUAUUGCCAGCCCUUCCUUGGGCUCCCCAGUGUAUUUCUGACUUGCCUGUCUGUCAUGUAUAGAUGCUGCAUAUUCCACUACCAUUUCUCCCAAACUGAUUGUAGAGUUACUCAUUGAUAAAAAGACUAUUUCCUUCCGAGCUUGCAUGGGCCAGCUAUUUAUAGAACACUUGUUUGGUGGUACUGAGAUCUUCAUUCUGAUGAUGAUGGCCUGUGAUCACUAUGUGGACAUCUGUAAGCCACUGCACUAUUUGACCAUCAUGAAUUGACAGGUUUGCAUCCUUCUGUUGGUGUUGGCUGUGACAGGAGGUUUUGUACAUUCUAUGUUUCAAACUGUUGUUGUGUACAAUCUCCCUUUCUCUGGCCCCAAUGUCAUUGAC